UUAAGCACCAGUUCUCAUAUGAUCAAUGAAGUUAAGCAAUGUUGAGCCUGGUCAGUACCUAGUGGGUGACCACAUGGGAAUACUAGGUGCU